GAUGAACGCUGGCGACGUGCUUAACACAUGCAAGUCGAACGGUGAAGCAGGAGCUUGCUCUUGUGGAUCAGUGGCGAACGGGUGAGUAACACGUGAGCAACCUGCCCCUGACUCUGGGAUAAGCGCUGGAAACGGCGUCUAAUAUUGGAUAUGUGAUGUGACCGCAUGGUCUGCAUCUGGAAAGAAUUUCGGUUGGGGAUGGGCUCGCGGCCUAUCAGCUUGUUGGUGAGGUAAUGGCUCACCAAGGCGUCGACGGGUAGCCGGCCUGAGAGGGUGACCGGCCACACUGGGACUGAGACACGGCCCAGACUCCUACGGGAGGCAGCAGUGGGGAAUAUUGCACAAUGGGCGGAAGCCUGAUGCAGCAACGCCGCGUGAGGGAUGAUGGCCUUCGGGUUGUAAACCUCUUUUAGCAGGGAAGAAGCGAAAGUGACGGUACCUGCAGAAAAAGCACCGGCUAACUACGUGCCAGCCGCCGCGGUAA
rnacentral:rRNA from 1 species